CCUACGGGUGGCAGCAGUGAGGAAUAUUGGUCAAUGGGCGUAAGCCUGAACCAGCCAAGUCGCGUGAGGGAUGAAGGUUCUAUGGAUCGUAAACUUCUUUUAUAAGGGAAUAAAGUGCGGGACGUGUCCCGUUCUGUAUGUACCUUAUGAAUAAGGAUCGGCUAACUCCGUGCCAGCAGCCGCGGUAAUACGGAGGAUCCGAGCGUUAUCCGGAUUUAUUGGGUUUAAAGGGUGCGUAGGCGGGCUUUUAAGUCAGCGGUGAAAGUCUGUGGCUCAACCAUAGCAUUGCCGUUGAAACUGGGGGGCUUGAGUAGGUGUGAGGCAGGGGGAAGGCGUGGUGUAGCGGUGAAAUGCUUAGAUAUCGCGCAGAACCCCGAUUGCGAAGGCAGCCUGCCAGGCCAUGACUGACGCUGAUGCACGAAAGCGUGGGGAUCAAACAGGAUUAGAUACCCCUGUAGUC
rnacentral:rRNA from 1 species